AUCCAGCUGACGAGUCUCGAAUAGGACGAAACAUGCGCCUUGGAU
rfam:Schistosoma haematobium scaffold119_2, whole genome shotgun sequence.